ACGAGUUAGGGUCUUUUCGGCCCGACCUCCCAACCCUGUGUUUACUGAACCUUUGUUGCUUCGGCGGGCCCGUCUCACGACCGUCGGGGGACCGUAAGACGUCUCUUGACCCGUGUCCGCCGGUGGCCAAACUUAACAAACUCUGGUUAAAAUGUGUCUAUGGUCUGAGUACAAUUUUUUAAUUAAAGAAA
rnacentral:misc_RNA from 1 species